AUUGCGUUAACGAUAGGAGUGGCAGCUUUUUUUGCUUUUCACCAUUACGCAAUUAGCAAAAAAACUAUAACGUAUAGCGUGUUAAAAC
rnacentral:sRNA from 1 species